CCUACGGGAGGCAGCAGUGGGGAAUAUUGCACAAUGGGGGAAACCCUGAUGCAGCGACGCCGCGUGAGUGAAGAAGUAUUUCGGUACGUAAAGCUCUAUCAGCCGGGAAGAAAAUGACGGUACCUGACUAAGAAGCCCCGGCUAACUACGUGCCAGCAGCCGCGGUAAUACGUAGGGAGCAAGCGUUAUCCGGAUUUACUGGGUGUAAAGGGAGCGUAGACGGCAGCGCAAGUCUGGAGUGAAAUCCCAUGGCUUAACCAUGGAACUGCUUUGGAAACUGUGCAGCUAGAGUGCAGGAGAGGUAAGCGGAAUUCCUAGUGUAGCGGUGAAAUGCGUAGAUAUUAGGAGGAACACCAGUGGCGAAGGCGGCUUACUGGACUGUAACUGACGUUGAGGCUCGAAAGCGUGGGGAGCAAACAGGAUUAGAUACCCUUGUAGUC
rnacentral:rRNA from 1 species